CCCAGGUGCGCCUAUACAGGAAUGAAGAGGCGAGGCUGAAGUCUACUGCAGAAGCGGAUAAUGUGGCAAAGCAGGACAAACCAAAAGAUAAGCAAUGGCCAGAUCUCAAGACGGUAGAGAGUGCUGCGAGGAAGUUGGGGCACUAGCUGUGGAGAGCCUGCCUUGUAAUCACGUUUGGCCAGUAUGCCGGCAAAACAUUCAAGUGGUUACUUGAAAAUGAUGUUGGCUGGGUGGUGUGGCUGCUUAACGCAUUUCACUGGGAGGGAGAGAAGUGCCCCCAUCUAAAAUGGCAGAAGGAACGGCUUCUAGAGUGGGUCAGAGAAUUUCCGAGUGUCAGCGUUCUUCUGGAGAAGCGAAUAAAGAAAGAGGAAGUCCAGAAAGAAAAAAUACCAGUUGUGGAGCCAGAGUAUGUUGAAGAUGCUGAACUGCUCUCAUUGGCAGAGGAUGUACUUCGUGACUGUGAGGUUGCAGUGUCAUGUUCAGUGACAACAGUUGGAAAGCUGAUACCUUCGUCACCCACAUCACCUGAAGACGUGCCCUCAACAUCGACAUCUGCAGAGUGCUCCACAGUACAGGAAGGGUAGCAACAAUAUUGGGAUGAGCCUCCACCACAGGUGCAGGGUAUGUUUCGGCCAAAUGUCCCCUGGCUGAAGAGCGAUGGGCCUUACGGCAUCUUUGAACGAGCAACUGCGGUUCGCAAGAUAUUUAAGAAGAAGAUGACAUUUAAUCCCCCUCCUCUCCCUACGAUAGUCAGAGGAACGCUGCCGUCCAUGCUAUCUUUUUUUACAACCCCCGUCUUCUUCUGGAGGCCAGUUGGAGUGAUGGAAGCCAAGAUCAGAUGUCCCAAUCCUAACUGCCCUGCUCCACAAGGU